UUUAAUCCCAGCGUCCUAUAAUCCCAGCGUCCUAUAACCCAGCCGGUCCUUUAAUCCCAGCGUCCUAUAAUCCCAGCGUCCUUUAAUCCCAGACGUCCUAUAAUCCCAGCCCGCUAUAAUCCCAGCGUCCUAUAAUCCCAGCGUCCUUUAAUCCCAGCGUCCUAUAAUCCCAGCGUCCUAUUAAUCCCAGCGUCCUAUAAUCCCAGCGUCCUAUAAUCCCAGCGUCCUUUAAUCCCAGCGUCCUUUAAUCCCAGCGUCCUUUAAUCCCAGCCGCCUAUAAUCCCAGCGGUCCUUUAAUCCAGCGUCCUUUAAUCCCAGCGUCCUAUAAUCCCAGCGUCCUAUAAUCCCAGCGGUCCUUUAAUCCCAGCGGUCCUAUAAUCC
ensembl:lncRNA